UAGGGAAUCUUCCGCAAUGGGCGAAAGCCUGACGGAGCAACGCCGCGUGAGUGAAGAAGGUUUUCGGAUCGUAAAACUCUGUUGUUAGAGAAGAACAAGUGCUAGAGUAACUGUUAGCGCCUUGACGGUAUCUAACCAGAAAGCCACGGCUAACUACGUGCCAGCAGCCGCGGUAAUACGUAGGUGGCAAGCGUUGUCCGGAUUUAUUGGGCGUAAAGCGAGCGCAGGCGGUUCCUUAAGUCUGAUGUGAAAGCCCCCGGCUCAACCGGGGAGGGUCAUUGGAAACUGGGGAACUUGAGUGCAGAAGAGGAGAGUGGAAUUCCAUGUGUAGCGGUGAAAUGCGUAGAUAUAUGGAGGAACACCAGUGGCGAAGGCGACUCUCUGGUCUGUAACUGACGCUGAGGCUCGAAAGCGUGGGUAGCAAACAGGAUUAGAUACCCUGGUAGUCCACGCCGUAAACGAUGAGUGCUAAGUGUUGGAGGGUUUCCGCCCUUCAGUGCUGCAGUUAACGCAUUAAGCACUCCGCCUGGGGAGUACGACCGCAAGGUUG
rnacentral:rRNA from 1 species